rnacentral:siRNA from 1 species
CUCAAGCUUGUGCCUGCGUUGCA